AGCAGCCGCGGUAAUUCCAGCUCCAAUAGCGUAUAUUAAAGUUGUUGCAGUUAAAAAGCUCGUAGUUGAAUUUCGGGAUUGGCGCAUCGGUCGUGCCUCACGGGGUAUGAACUGGUGCAGUCAAUUUCUCACCUUCUGGAGAACCGCGAUGUCCUUAAUUGGAUGCCGCGGGGAACCAGGACCUUUACUUUGAAAAAUUAGAGCGUUUAAAGCAGGCAUUUUUGCUUGAAUACAUUAGCAUGGAAUAAUAAAAUAGGACGGCAUGGUUCUAUUUUGUUGGUUUCUAGGACCACCGUAAUGAUUAAUAGGGAUAGUUGGGGGCAUUAGUAUUCAAUUGUCAGAGGUGAAAUUCUUGGAUUUAUUGAAGACUAACUACUGCGAAAGCAUUUGCCAAGGAUGUUUUCAUUAAUCAAGAACGAAAGUUAGGGGAUCGAAGACGAUCAGAUACCGUCGUAGUCUUAACCAUAAACUAUGCCGACUAGGAAUCAGACGAUGUUAAUUUUUAAUGUACUCGUUUGGC
rnacentral:misc_RNA from 1 species